rnacentral:rRNA from 1 species
CCUGCCCGCGCACCGGGAAUACGCUCUGGAAACGGAGAACAAAUCCCGAUGUACAGGAAGGAGGCAUCUUCUUUCUGUGAAACAUCCUUUCGGGGAUGGGGCGCGGAUGGACCUGCGGUGCAUUGGUUGGUUGGCGGGGUAAAGGCCCACCAAGACGAUGAUGCAUAGCCGGCCUGAGAGGGCGGACGGCCACAUUGGGACUGAGACACGGCCCAGACUCCUGCGGGAGGCAGCAGUAGGGAAUUUUCGUCAAUGGGCGCAAGCCUGAACGAGCGAUGCCGCGUGAGUGAAGAAGGCCUUCGGGUCGUAAAGCUCUGUUGCGGGGGAAAAAAGGCAGCAUCAGGAAAUGGGUGCUGACUGAUGGUGCCCCGCCAGAAAGUCACGGCUAACUACGUGCCAGCAGCCGCGGUAAUACGUAGGUGGCGAGCGUUAUCCGGAAUGAUUGGGCGUAAAGGGUGCGCAGGCGGUCCUGCAAGUCUGGAGUGAAACGCAUGAGCUCAACUCAUGCAUGGCUUUGGAAACUGGAGGACUGGAGAGCAGGAGAGGGCGGUGGAACUCCAUGUGUAGCGGUAAAAUGCGUAGAUAUAUGGAAGAACACCAGUGGCGAAGGCGGCCGCCUGGCCUGUUGCUGACGCUGAGGCACGAAAGCGUGGGGAGCAAAUAGGAUUAGAUACCCUAGUAGUCCACGCCGUAAACGAUGAGGACCAAGUGUUGGGGGUGAAACCUCAGUGCUGAAGUUAACGCAGUGAGUCCUCCG